rnacentral:rRNA from 1 species
UGAGCAAUCUGCCCUUCUCUUCGGAAUAAGCGUGGGAAACCGCGUCUAAUGCCUAAUACGACCUCCUUUCGCAUGAUCGGAGGUGGAAAGCUCCGGCGGAGAAGGAUGAGCUCGCGGCCUAUCAGCUAGUUGGUGUGGGUAAUGGCCCACCAAGGCGACGACGGGUAGCCGGCCUGAGAGGGUGACCGGCCACACUGGGACUGAGACACGGCCCAGACCUCCGUACGGGAGGNAG